AGACCUUAUAUUAAAGUAUGUAAUAUGCACUAGAGUCUAAUGAAAAAGAAAAAAUUGUAAGAUCAAUUUUGAGCAAUUCGAUAUACCUUCCAAAAGUAUGUCAAUGUUUCUUUAGGUUCUCCAAGUAUGUACCUCUGAACCUUUCAAGGUCCUUCAGUUACCAGUAUAUUGACUAAUUCAGUUAAGGUGCUAUAAUAUCUAUUCAUAUAAUAGUUUUAUAAACUAUCCGUAUGA
rnacentral:lncRNA from 1 species